CUAGUUGGUGGAGUAAUAGCCUACCAAGGCAAUGAUCUAUAGCUGAUCUGAGAGGAUGAUCAGCCACACUGGAACUGAGAUACGGUCCAGACUCCUACGGGAGGCAGCAGUGGGGAAUAUUGGACAAUGGGCGAAAGCCUGAUCCAGCCAUGCCGCAUGAGUGAAGAAGGCCUUUGGGUUGUAAAGCUCUUUUAGUGAGGAAGAUAAUGACGGUACUCACAGAAGAAGUCCUGGCUAACUCCGUGCCAGCAGCCGCGGUAAUACGGAGAGGGCUAGCGUUAUUCGGAAUUAUUGGGCGUAAAGGGCGCGUAGGCUGAUUAAUAAGUUAAAAGUGAAAUCCCGAGGCUUAACCUUGGAAUUGCUUUUAAAACUAUUAAUCUAGAGAUUGAAAGAGGAUAGAGGAAUUCCUGAUGUAGAGGUAAAAUUCGUAAAUAUUAGGAGGAACACCAGUGGCGAAGGCGUCUAUCUGGUUCAAAUCUGACGCUGAAGCGCGAAGGCGUGGGGAGCAAACAGGAUUAGAUACCCUGGUAGUCCACGCUGUAA
rnacentral:rRNA from 1 species